AACGAACGCUGGCGGCAUGCCUAACACAUGCAAGUCGAACGAGACCUUCGGGUCUAGUGGCGCACGGGUGCGUAACGCGUGGGAACCUGCCCUUAGGUUCGGAAUAACUCCCCGAAAGGGGUGCUAAUACCGGAUAAUGUCUUCGGACCAAAGAUUUAUCGCCUUUGGAUGGGCCCGCGUUGGAUUAGCUAGUUGGUAGGGUAAAAGCCUACCAAGGCGACGAUCCAUAGCUGGUCUGAGAGGAUGAUCGGCCACACUGGGACUGAGACACGGCCCAGACUCCUACGGGAGGCAGCAGUGGGGAAUAGUGGAAAAGGGGCGAAAGCCUGAUCCAGCAAUGCCGCGUGAGUGAUGAAGGCCUUAGGGUUGUAAAGCUCUUUUACCCGGGAUGAUAAUGACAGUACCGGGAGAAUAAGCUCCGGCUAACUCCGUG
rnacentral:rRNA from 1 species